UGCAAGUCGAGCGGAUCGAUGGGAGCUUGCUCCCUGAGAUCAGCGGCGGACGGGUGAGUAACACGUGGGUAACCUGCCUGUAAGACUGGGAUAACUCCGGGAAACCGGGGCUAAUACCGGAUAACACCUACCCCCGCAUGGGGGAAGGUUGAAAGGUGGCUUCCGCUAUCACUUACAGAUGGACCCGCGGCGCAUUAGCUAGUUGGUGAGGUAACGGCUCACCAAGGCGACGAUGCGUAGCCGACCUGAGAGGGUGAUCGGCCACACUGGGACUGAAACACGGCCCAGACUCCUACGGGAGGCAGCAGUAGGGAAUCUUCCGCAAUGGACGAAAGUCUGACGGAACAACGCCGCGUGAGUGAAGAAGGUUUUCGGAUCGUAAAACUCUGUUGUUAGGGAAGAACAAGUGCCGUUCGAAUAGGGCGGCACCUUGACGGUACCUAACCAGAAAGCCACGGCUAACUACGUGCCAGCAGCCGCGGUAAUACGUAGGUGGCAAGCGUUGUCCGGAAUUAUUGGGCGUAAAGCGCGCGCAGGUGGUUUCUUAAGUCUGAUGUGAAAGCCCACGGCUCAACCGUGGAGGGUCAUUGGAAACUGGGGAACUUGAGUGCAGAAGAGGAAAGUGGAAUUCCAAGUGUAGCGGUGAAAUGCGUAGAUAUUUGGAGGAACACCAGUGGCGAAGGCGACUUUCUGGUCUGUAACUGACACUGAGGCGCGAAAGCGUGGGGAGC
rnacentral:rRNA from 1 species